AACGUAGGUGGAGAGCGUUAUCCGGAUUUACUGGGCGUAAAGGGUGUGCAGGCGGGGGGACAAGUGGGGUUUGAAAGGUUUCGGCUCAACCGAGAUAGGUUAUGCCAGACUGUUUACCUAGAGUGUGAGAGAGGGACGUGGAAUUCCGGGUGUAGUGGUGAAAUGCGUAGAGAUCCGGAGGAACCCCAGUGGCGAAGGCGACUUCCUGGCCUGUUCUUGACGCUGAGGCGCGAAAGCUAGGGUAGCAAACGGG
rnacentral:rRNA from 1 species